CACACCUGGCAAAACAACAUCCAAAACCCCAAGUACCAAAAAGAAUGGCAUAGGAAUCUCAUGCUUUCAGCAACUGCAGUCUUAUCCUUGCCUCCUCCUGUGCUUCCUUCUUUGGUGUCAAGGUUUUCUCCCGAAUGGAAGUGCGGCGAACUGACUGAGUGCGGUGUUGGAGUGCGCACGCCGAAUCUGACAACAGAAAUGAAGGUCAACAAUUUACAUAAAAACCAUUACAAGUCUCACACAAACAAUCAUAACUGUGCAGCUGCUAAACAUCUACAGUGAACCCAGGUUUAUCACAGUGUUAUGUUCCAGAGGCACCCACAAAGUACUGAAAUCCAUGUUAUAUUGACAUGGACCCAUAAACUGACCAAUAGGGACCCAGCGGUCUUAACAUGGAGCACAAUUUUAUAAAAAAAAAAUUUAAAUAAAAAAAAAAAAAAAAAAAAUGCUGGAGGUGUAUAAUGGUGUUGAUGGGGUUUUCUUGGAAGAACAUAGUGUUUGGAGAAUUACUUAUAGUUUUCAAUGAGAUUUCUGUGUGAUGCUCGGGAAUUUUCUCAACCUAUGCCACAAUUUAAACUGCAUUUUAUCUAAUACAGUAUAAUGACCAAUUUUCUGUGAAAAAAAAAAAUAUAUAUAAAAAAAUAUUUUAAACAUGCAAGUUAACCAAUGAUGGGUGAUCUGCAGAUAAAACUGGAGGUCAACUGUAGUGCAGAUAUGGUGUCAAAAUUUACAGAGUAAACUGUACAAACUCA